CUCCUAAUCUACUACAACAGGAUCAGGAAGAGUCUACAAUGCAGAAACAAAAAAGUGCAUUGCGAAACUAGAAGGGCAUGGAGGUGAGAUUUCAAAGAUAUGUUUCAACCCUAAGGGCAAUCGUAUUCUAACAGCCAGCUCUGAUAAGACAGCUCGACUCUGGGAUGCUGCUACUGGACACUGCCUUCAGAUACUAGAGGGCCACACUGAUGAGAUAUUCUCCUGUGCUUUCAAUUACAACGGCAAUAUAAUCAUUACAGGGAGCAAGGAUAACACCUGUAGAGUAUGGCACUGACUGAAGACAAGGAAAGAUCCAGUGUGGUAUGUGCCUACAACCUGAGUUCCGUAGUCAAUAAACUUAGUCUUACAGA